AACGGUCUAUACCUGCGGUACCUGCGGAGGGAUCAUUACCGAGUCCUGCCCCCCGGGCAGAUCUCCCACCCACUGUGAUCACUACUCUCGUUGCCUUGGCGGGCACUAGCCCGCCAGAGGGACCCCUAAACCCUGAUUGUUGGUGUUGUCCGAGUCCAGUUUAUAGCGAUUAAAACUUUUAGCAACGGAUCUCU
rnacentral:misc_RNA from 1 species